rnacentral:rRNA from 1 species
AUUGAACGCUGGCGGCAUGCCUUACACAUGCAAGUCGAACGGCAGCACGGGUGCUUGCACCUGGUGGCGAGUGGCGAACGGGUGAGUAAUACAUCGGAACAUGUCCUGUAGUGGGGGAUAGCCCGGCGAAAGCCGGAUUAAUACCGCAUACGAUCCACGGAUGAAAGCGGGGGACCUUCGGGCCUCGCGCUAUAGGGUUGGCCGAUGGCUGAUUAGCUAGUUGGUGGGGUAAAGGCCUACCAAGGCGACGAUCAGUAGCUGGUCUGAGAGGACGACCAGCCACACGGGGACUGAGACACGGCCCAGACUCCUACGGGAGGCAGCAGUGGGGAAUUUUGGACAAUGGGCGAAAGCCUGAUCCAGCAAUGCCGCGUGUGUGAAGAAGGCCUUCGGGUUGUAAAGCACUUUUGUCCGGAAAGAAAUCCUUGACUCUAAUACAGUCGGGGGAUGACGGUACCGGAAGAAUAAGCACCGGCUAACUACGUG